rnacentral:sRNA from 1 species
GCCGAGGCCCAGACUCCGACGCGUGGUAGCCCCAGGAUGGGUGAGUUCAACGAGAAGAAGACAACAUGUGGCACCGUUUGCCUCAAGUACCUGCUCUUUACCUACAACUGCUGCUUCUGGCUGGCCGGCCUGGCUGUCAUGGCAGUGGGCAUCUGGACGCUGGCCCUCAAGAGUGACUACAUCAGCCUGCUGGCCUCGGGCACCUACCUGGCCACAGCCUACAUCCUGGUGGUGGCGGGCACUGUCGUCAUGGUGACUGGGGUCUUGGGCUGCUGUGCCACCUUCAAGGAACGUCGGAACCUGCUGCGCCUGGUCAGGAGGGCACAGGGCCACGGGGUGGGGGUGGUGCGGAUGGGCCCAAGGAGGUUGUCGCUGCAGGCUUUGAACCUGUGCUUUGCUGUGCUCACCUGGGGGGGUCACGGUCCUUCCACACCUGCCUAGUCCUGUGGGUCCCCACGUUCCCGCUGGACCAGCUGAGGGAAGACACCAGCUCUGCAAGAAAGCUUCAGGGAGGGUGGCCGCCCCUCAGCCCCCACCUGGAACCUGGGGAGCCGGGGUGGGGACUCUGCUCUGAGGUGCACUAGGCCUAGGCACUAGGCCUCAGAACAAGGGUGCCCUUGUGCCCCCCUCAGUACUUCAUCCUGCUCCUCAUCAUCUUUCUGCUGGAGAUCAUCGCUGGUAUCCUCGCCUACGCCUACUACCAGCAGGUGAGAGGCCUGGGCAGGCCAUUCAGAGAUAGACAUGCACAGGCGGGGCGGACACACACAGAUGCACACGCGUGGCUAGCCCCGACCCCCACCCCCAUGGUCCCAGAGCUGACCAACAUGCUACUGGGCCCUGGAGGUGGGGUCUAGGUCUCUGCAGGGGCACAUGGGGUCAGGCAGG